ensembl:lncRNA
UUUUAUCUUUCAAUUUUUGCAGGAAACAUCGUUUCAAGUGGUUUUAAUUUCAGGCGGUAAUUUUUCAUUUCUUCUGAUGAAUUAUGGUGACAUUGCUGUAACAGGACAUCCAGUGCAGGUGAAAGAAACUUGUUUUCUGUAUUGAGAACAAAAUGUUGCUAUUCACUACUGUAUAAAAGUUCAUGUUCUCUAAUAUAUAUAAUGUUUAUAUGAAUAAUGUUUUUGCACACUUUCAGGCUGGUUAUGACACAGUAAACUCCACACACUACUUUGUGAUUCCCGAAUCAAUCAAUGGCAGCUUCAUCUCAAACCUCAGGAACUCCAGUAAUGUCAAUGUUCUCGGUCGAUGGGUCUUCAGGGUGGACGGUGAACCAAGAAACAGCAUCUUGAACAACAAUGUCAUUGGAUUUCGAGUGAGACUUUCCUCAUUUUUAGACCUGACACGUAAUGGCAGCACUGAAAUAGUUUUGGAGCAAGUAUGUCACUCUUACUACGAAUAUUUAAACAGAAUACGGUUCAAAUAGACCACAUGGGCAAAUUUAUUCUGUUUGUCCAUCUGUGUUUCAGAUCAAGCAGGAGCUGGUCAAGUACGGUCUGCCAAACAGCAUCGAACUGAAGUUAAGAAAACUGCAAAAGAUAAAGCCGUAAUUUCCUUCUCCUUCAAGAAAAGAAGUAAAACCAGUUUGUUUAGCAUCUGACAACAAAUAUCCCUGAUGACUGAUGAUGUAAAAGUUUCAGUUUUUCAUUAAGGUUGUUUACAAAGGAUUCAAACCAGCAUAAAAUUAUCAUAGAAGAGGUCCAUUAGAUCCUCCUUUUUUCCUUUUUUCUUUUUUCUUUGCAUAUCGAUCAUGUUGUGUGUAUCAGUUUAAACUUUACUGUAAGUAAAACACUUUUGUCUCAUUCACCUUCAUUAGAACCAUAACUUACAUAGGGUACAACUUAACUUAGGGUACAAUACUUAAACUGCAUAAUGUACAGUACAGUAUCAUUUGAAUGCAGUGUACAUCGCUUUGAAUUAAAGAAUCUGCCAAAUGCAUAAAUGUCAAAUUCUAUCUCACUUUUAACAUGGGCAUCUAAAUUUGUGGCUUAUCAAAAAAAAAUAAAAAAAAUGUUUAGUUUUUGUGUGUUCUGUUG